UGUGCCCCUUCCAUUUACAGGAAAACUGCCACCAUUUCACUGAGCCCAAAUUAUAAUGCAGGUGCUUGAUGGGAAAUUUAGCACGCCAUGGCAUUCAAGCCUCACAGAACUUGCAAGACCAUCUUGACUGUGAUCCACCAGGAGGACCACCGGGAGGUAGCAGUAGUCUGACCCAAACGCUGAAUUUGAAGCCAUGAUCACUGACUUGCCUUGAGCUGGGGUCUCCAUCUCUACCAGGAAACAGAGUCUCACUCUGUCGCCCCAGCUAGAGUGCCAUGAU